rnacentral:rRNA from 2 species
GAAGGUGGCCUGUGAGGGUUGCUGGAGGUAUCAGAAGUGCGAAUGCUGACAUAAGUAACGAUAAAGCGGGUGAAAAGCCCGCUCGCCGGAAGACCAAGGGUUCCUGUCCAACGUUAAUCGGGGCAGGGUGAGUCGACCCCUAAGGCGAGGCCGAAAGGCGUAGUCGAUGGGAAACGGGUUAAUAUUCCCGUACUUGGUGUUACUGCGAAGGGGGGACGGAGAAGGCUAUGUUGGCCGGGCGACGGUUGUCCCGGUUUAAGCGUGUAGGCUGGUUUUCCAGGCAAAUCCGGAAAAUCAAGGCUGAGGCGUGAUGACGAGGCACUACGGUGCUGAAGCAACAAAUGCCCUGCUUCCAGGAAAAGCCUCUAAGCAUCAGGUAACAUCAAAUCGUACCCCAAACCGACACAGGUGGUCAGGUAGAGAAUACCAAGGCGCUUGAGAGAACUCGGGUGAAGGAACUAGGCAAAAUGGUGCCGUAACUUCGGGAGAAGGCACGCUGACACGUAGGUGAAGUGAUUUACUCAUGGAGCUGAAGUCAGUCGAAGAUACCAGCUGGCUGCAACUGUUUAUUAAAAACACAGCACUGUGCAAACACGAAAGUGGACGUAUACGGUGUGACGCCUGCCCGGUGCCGGAAGGUUAAUUGAUGGGGUCAGCGCAAGCGAAGCUCCUGAUCGAAGCCCCGGUAAACGGCGGCCGUAACUAUAACGGUCCUAAGGUAGCGAAAUUCCUUGUCGGGUAAGUUCCGACCUGCACGAAUGGCGUAAUGAUGGCCAGGCUGUCUCCACCCGAGACUCAGUGAAAUUGAACUCGCUGUGAAGAUGCAGUGUACCCGCGGCAAGACGGAAAGACCCCGUGAACCUUUACUAUAGCUUGACACUGAACAUUGAGCCUUGAUGUGUAGGAUAGGUGGGAGGCUUUGAAGUGUGGACGCCAGUCUGCAUGGAGCCGACCUUGAAAUACCACCCUUUAAUGUUUGAUGUUCUAACGUGGACCCGUUACCCGGGUUGCGGACAGUGUCUGGUGGGUAGUUUGACUGGGGCGGUCUCCUCCUAAAGAGUAACGGAGGAGCACGAAGGUUGGCUAAUCCUGGUCGGACAUCAGGAGGUUAGUGCAAUGGCAUAAGCCAGCUUGACUGCGAGCGUGACGGCGCGAGCAGGUGCGAAAGCAGGUCAUAGUGAUCCGGUGGUUCUGAAUGGAAGGGCCAUCGCUCAACGGAUAAAAGGUACUCCGGGGAUAACAGGCUGAUACCGCCCAAGAGUUCAUAUCGACGGCGGUGUUUGGCACCUCGAUGUCGGCUCAUCACAUCCUGGGGCUGAAGUAGGUCCCAAGGGUAUGGCUGUUCGCCAUUUAAAGUGGUACGCGAGCUGGGUUUAGAACGUCGUGAGACAGUUCGGUCCCUAUCUGCCGUGGGCGCUGGAGAACUGAGGGGGGCUGCUCCUAGUACGAGAGGACCGGAGUGGACGCAUCACUGGUGUUCGGGUUGUCAUGCCAAUGGCACUGCCCGGUAGCUAAAUGCGGAAGAGAUAAGUGCUGAAAGCAUCUAAGCACGAAACUUGCCCCGAG